UCAUUUCUUCAACAACUUCUAGGUAGGAGCAAAUUAAAGCCUAUUCUGAGGCAACAUAAAUAUUGCACCAAGCGUGACCGGACUAAAUCAAAAGAACAAAAAAACAAUUUGAAGAAGGCUUUAAGCAUUGAGAAAGAGUGUCUAGUUAGUAUCUAGAAGACCUUGCAUGAGAGCAUGCAGAAUGUGCUGAAACAAAGGUCUCAGUUAAGAGUAAAUCAAUUGAGUUAUAAGUAACGCACUUGAGCUCUAAUUGGUGCCAACAUAGUACGAGCUGUUUGAAUGAAAAAAAUUGAAAGUGUUUUUACUAGACAAAAUGAAUCUUGAUGAGAAGCCAUGUUUAAGAUUUGAU
rnacentral:lncRNA from 1 species